rnacentral:lncRNA from 1 species
ACAAGUUGCAGUGGUAGAAGCAGCCAUGAGUGAAGAUUAUCUAACAGAGAUUAUGGAUAAAGGAACU